rnacentral:rRNA from 1 species
UACGGAGGUGGCAAGCGUUGCUCGGAAUCACUGGGCGUAAAGGGCGCGUAGGCGGGGAGGUAAGUCGGGUGUGAAAUCCCUUGGCUCAACCAAGGAACUGCGCCCGAGACUGCUUCUCUUGAGUCCCGGAGAGGAAGGUGGAAUUCCCAGUGUAGAGGUGAAAUUCGUAGAUAUUGGGAAGAACACCGAUGGCGAAGGCAGCCAUCUGGACCGACACUGACGCUGAGGCGCGAAAGCGUGGGGAGCAAACAGG